rnacentral:rRNA from 1 species
UUUGUAGGAAAUAAAAAUGUAACAAGGUAUCUGUAGGUGAACCUGCAGAUGGAUCAUUUCGAUGAAAAACCUUUUUUCUUGAGGUGUGGCUCGCACCUGUCUAACUAAACUUGAGCUACCCCCUUUUAACACGGUUGCAUCGGUUGGCUGUCCAACAGCGCGGACCUCGCGUUCGCUGCUGGAAAGGCGGUCGACACUUUUUACACCAAAACACUUUUGAUGAUCUAGGAGUUGAAUGAAAAAAAAGUUUAAUUUUUUAACUAAAAAACAACUUUUGGCAACGGAUCUCUUGGUUCUCCCAUCGAUGAAGAACGCAGCGAAUUGCGAUAAGUAAUGUGAAUUGCAGAAGUGAAUCAUCGAAUCUUUGAACGCACCUUGCGCUCCCUGCAGAUCUAAUCUGGGGAGCAUGCCUGUUUGAGGGCCGCGAAUUGUUUCGAACGGCAGCUUUCUUCCUUUUUUUUGCGAGAGAGUUGGCGGAUCGGUAGUGAGGGGUUGCCAGUUACCAUGGCUCCCUCGAAAUGCAUUAGCGCAUCCAUUUGAGAGGCAAGGACGGGCGAAAGCUCGCUUUUUCGCCCUCCUCUUCCUCCUGCCGGGUUUUGAUAAUAUCAGGACUUCGGAGGGGAGAAGAGGGUCUGGGUUAAGAGCUGGACGCACCGUGUUUUGCUGGUUGGAGUGCUUCUGAACCCCGCCCAUGCCCGCACACGUCGGGAAGGGAACGAUGUAGUAUAUUCUACAACAUCAAUUCCAUCGGCCUCAGAUUGGUAGGACUACCCGCUGAACUUAAUCAUAUCAA